GUGCAAAACUCUGCAUUCACAGUCCUAUCGCAGUGAACUGGUAGAAACCAGCAUGGACUGGCCUUUUCUUAGAGGUUUUGGGAACAGAACAGAUUCACAAGGACAGCAAUCCACCCCCCGCCCUUAUGACAGUUUCAUCUGUUGAAAUGAUCCUCUGAAAAUGGCAGUUUGGGGUGAGGAGAAAGAGAAUAUUUUCAAUGCUUCCUCUAAUUGUCUCUUUGGUGAUCUAUCUGAGGUUUUAUAAUGAACUGAAUACAUUUCUUGAAAUGCAACCCCUGGGCACACUUGAAACGAUUCUCUGCUUCAAUCAUACAUGGGAUGUUUCCAUAACAGCAAGUAAUUUGUUUUUUAAAAAAUAAUAAUAAUAAAAAUAACACUGCCUUUGUUUUUCGGCAAAAUUGCCUAUAGAUGGCUCCCCUUUCCCUCUGUUUCUGAGAUUCAUUGAUCCCUCAGAAUGUGUACAUGCUAUUUUUGCUUAGAGAAGCAAAGUCGUUCCCCCCUCCCCAUUUAGGAAAUAGCUUCCCCUUGGAAAUGGAAUUAGGGGUUUGUUGUCAUGGCAACAAAGAUUUCAGCACUUCUGUUUCCUACAACAUAUAUCUCUCUGGGUUGCUGCAAUUCUAGUGCUUAUCAGUGUUUUAUCCAUUGUGAGUGAGCUUGGUGGUGCUGACAUGUAGAACAAACUUCAAAGCAGUGACCUAGGAUAUUCUCUGAGGAUCAGAGCAGCUGUCACUAUAUCCCAAUUAUAUGGGGUUUUUUUUUAGCAUUGUGUCCAGUUCUUGAACAAAGUAUCAUUAAACUAUCAAGCUUGCAGUUGUUGCUUUGAAAAGUGAUCUCGAUGUAAAAAUGAACAUAAUACCUUUAUGUACAGAGGUGGGUAGGGAAACUGAUUGGCUAGAACAACCAGUAAAUAUUGAUAAAUAGCGACACAAAGCUUACCUGGGGGAGGGGGCAGAAUAGUAUAAUGAUGAAGACAUGGGCAGCAAACUUCAAAGAAUGCUAGGUGCCCACUUAAAUCCUGCAUUUGAAAAUGUAGCAAUUAUAUAGAGAACACAGACAUAAUCCAUGACUACUUUCUGUGGUGUCGUCGGAGUAGGGAUUCCGAAAUUGUGUAGGCCAUUUGACAUGGCAAUUGUGUUUGCCAUGGUUCCAUGAGUGCUUCUUGCAGUGCUUCUGUGUGCAUAAUUUGUCAAAGGCACAUAUUUGUCACAGGCCCCCUGUACAUUUAAAGCAACAACAUACCACUUUAAAUAGCCAUGACUGCCCCACUGCAAAACUCCUGGGAACUGUAGUUUGUUAAGCGUGCUGAGAGUUGCUAGGUGAUCCUUAAUCCCCUCACAGAGCUACAGUUCCCAAUUCCCUGGGAAGAGGGAUUGACUGUCCAACUAUUCUGGGAAUUGUAGCUAGGAGAAGGGAAUAGCAGUGGCAGAAUCUAGGGUGUCUAAUUUCAGCGGCACCCUGUGAAACACCAAAGUUUGGCUCUCCCUGCCUCUCAUCUUCCAUUCUAUAUCAUAGCUGCAGCACCCCCCGGUGCCCGCACCCCAAAGGCCUGUGCAACCAAACUGGUCAAAUUCUCCUAAAUUCAUCUCUGGGAAUAGGGUUCUCUUAGGAGCUCUAAGCACCCUUAACUACUGUUCCCAGAAUUCUUUGUGAGGGGAAGCCAUGACAGUUUAAAGCAGCAUGAUACUGCUUAAAUACAUUCUGAAGAUGGGGCUUUGUACACCAGGAGGUUUGUCAGGCGUCCCAGAUGAGUGAGAGUUCUCUGCGGACAACUCUACAGCAUAUUUCAUGCAUUUGCCUUUCAUGCUUUAGCUCUCUUGAAGGAAACACCAGUUUAACACUGGUGCAGUGUGGCAAACAACCCAGUCGUUUUACAUGGUGUGUGAAAAGGUCGUCUUGAGGCAGACCUUAGCCAAGUGCCAAAAUUUGACAGCAGAACCACAAGCUCUUUACAGACCCCCGUGAUGGUAGUGUGGAAGGAUGAUCCCACAGCUAUCCUAGAUGAGAUUCUGUGUUGCUCUGCUUGCCUGCUUGCUAAUAUUUGGGGGAAACCUAGACCAAACUGCAACCGAGUGUUCAGAGAAAAACAAACUUCACUUGCAGAAUCUUUAACCUAUUUUUAGAGUUCAACCUAUUAAGUGUAUGAAAUAAUGUUAUGUGAUUCAUCCUGAAUCACAUAAUUCCAAAGGGCCCUGAAGUUCCAUGGAGUAGCAGAGAUUUGAAUAUAUUUAUCUUGUUUCAUGUUGUCAUGUUAGGGAAUGGGCAUUUAUUAAAGGCCAGAAAGUAGGCAAAUUCUAGUAUUUCCUGCUAUUUCAACAUGGUCUUUUUACUUCAAAAUAACAUCAACCUCUAUCCAGCAUUUCUUUAGCUGUGCAUACAACAAUAUAAAGGAGGGGAGGCUGUGUCUGUAACUACAGGACUCCAGACCACACUUUGUCGUAUGGUUCCUUUUUUCUGGGUGUUCCCUCCUCCCACAUUGCUCACUUGCUACAUUCCAUCCUCUGGAAUGGAAAAGGUUUUUAACUUGGUGGUAGAACAUCUGCUUUGCAUGCAGGAGGUCCCAGGUAUAAUCCUCUGCAUCUCCAGGUAGAGAGCCACUGCCAGUCAGUUUAGACCAGAAGUGGGGAGGACCUUUGGCCAUGUUUGCUGGGGCUGAUUGGAGAUGUAGUUCAGCAACAUCUGGAAGACCAAAGGUAGACAAUACUGAGUCAGAUGUACCAGUGGUCUAAGUCAGUGCUCUGUGUUCCUAUCUAAAGCCUAUUUUCUUCCUAGGUCUGUACAGACUGACAUUGUUUAUACAUCAGGAUAAACCAGAGGUAAUGGCAUAUCAUGGUUUAUUGAGAAUGAGCAUUGUGCCCAUACAGGCUGCCUGUUUUCACUUUGCCUAGUGUGAAUACAUACCCUCCAAGUGUCCCAAUAUUCCAGGGACAGUCCCGAAUUAUGAAAGCCAUCCUGGCUUUUGAUUUGAUCCUGGAGCAUCCCUUUUCCCCUCACCAGCACCACUGUCAGUGAGCUUAGGGAAGAGGAUGAGCUGGCGUUGUCCUGAGCAUCCCAUUGCCUCUCCAUAGCCACCACUGCUGGCCAAGGGGACGCGGGUGGCGCUGUGCACUAAACCACUGAGCCUCUUGGGCUUGCCAAUCAGAAGGUUGGCGGUUUGAAUCCCUGCAACAGGGUAAGCUUCCAUUGUUUGGUCCCAGCUCCUGCCAACCUAGCAGUUCUAAAGCACACUAGUGCAAGUAGAUAAACAGAUACCGCUGCGGUGGGAAAGUAAACAGUGUUUCCGUGCGCUCUGGUUUCCGCCACGGUGUUCCAAUGCACCAGAAGUGGUUUAGUCAUGCUGGCCACAUGACCCGGAAAGCUGUCUGUGGACAAACACCACCUCCCUUGGCCUGAAAGCGAGAUGAGCGCUGCAACCCCAUAGUUGCCUUUGACUGAACUUAACCGUCCAGGGGUCCUUUUACUGCCGACCUCCUCCUCCCUUGGGCACCUUGUAGCAGCUUCAGGAGCAUGGGCAAGGAGGAGAAGAGGCUGCUUCCACCAAGGUUGACAUGCCAGCUCUAAGGGACAGGCAGAGGGCAGGGCUGUCCUGGGCAAGAAGAAAGGGGGAGCAGAGCAUGAUGCAUCUCGAUUUUUAAAAAAGUGCUUUGUGCACUCAUGUCUAAUCUUGCUCCUUUCUAAAAUCUAUUUAUUGGUGUAUGUUUUCCUUUUUGUACAUCUACCAAAUAAUAAAAUAAAAUAAAAUUGGGAUUAAGUUGUUUUCUCAGGAUGGCAAACAGUGUGUGUGUUGUGUCCUUUUGGAGUAAACGGGGGUGGCAAUCGCCUUCUUGUGAUAGGAAAUGCUCUGCGGGCAGGUGAGAUGACAAAAAAUGGGGGUUGGGAGUGAGAAAUGCCACUAUUUUCUUCUGAGGAAUGUUGGAUGGUACGUGAACAGGAAAUACAAAACAGGAAGCCGGUUAAGCUUCCUAUGACAUAUAAAUCCAGGAUCGUGGUUGUUUCUCCGUACAAUCCAGGUUGACUUACAAAUCUGGAAGGAAGACACCAGGAUCCCACAUUCAGAUGCUGUGAGAAGCCAAGACGUCCUGUUUUGUUUCUCCCCAACACACCAGGGAAAGAAUGAUGUGGGGGUGACUGGGCAGUGAACACCAACAUGCUCUUUUUUCCCAAAUCAAACACGCUAAGCCAGCAACCGUGGCACCUUGUGACAUGCAGUUGUGACCCCUAAGUUCUACAAGAACAACUAGGCUGCAUCAGAAUUAUCUAACUUCAGCAGAUAUUGUUGUGAUGAGGAGGCCAACAGAGACAGGACUUAAUGCAGAAGAACAGAGGCUUUGAUAUUUUUCAAGGUAUUGCAUUAAAUCUUAAUAAGAAAAUGUUUAAAGGUUAUAUAGUGGGUUGUUUUACAAUGCCCUAGUGGUUGUGAGUUAUACCUGUGCUUUUGCACUCAUUGCACGAAACACUGGAAGAUGAAAGCAACUUUGCUUCUUAGCAGUCAGGUAGUCUAUUUGCAUCCAAGGUUAUUAUAUGGGUUGUAAACAGCCAUUUCCUUCAUUCUAAAAUGUGUUGCUGAGCGAGUUCCAUCGUGCCCCAUCGCUACACUGAUUCAGGUGGUUGGCGAAGACCUGGCCUUUUUUUAAAAAAGUGUCAAAUUUAACAAAGAAACAACAAAUAACAAAGAUAGAUUUUUUUAAAAAAGUUGGGGGGACGACACCCCCCCGACAAUACACACUAUGAGUUCAUUUGAGACUGUAAUAGCCACAAGCUUUUCCUUCUAAAAUUAAACAUAUAAAUCAAUAUAAGCCUCCUAGAUGUCCAAACAGGUAUCCACACAGAAUUGGUAUUUAUUAAAAAUACAUAUGUUCAAAUGCAGCAAGGGUGGUAAGGUCCUCAGACCAUUGCAUAAUGGAUGGUGGGUAUUGAUUCUUCCAGGCUCAAAGUGCAAGUCUCUUGUCAACCAUAAGGGAUUCCAACAUCCACUUUUGUUGUGCUGCUAUUAAUCCCUGUACUGUAGAAAUACAGUUCAAAAGUACAUGAACAUCUGGCAAUACUGAAAAUUUUGCUGGUACACAGUUCAUAUUGGUAACAAUUUCAGGCUAGGAUGAAUAUAUCUCCAGAUACAUCAUAUGCCUCAAUGAGGCCUUUUUAGCAUUAGACCUUCAGCAUAUAAUUAUUAGACAGUGCCUUCCAGUACAAACACUGUGGACUCAAAUUGAGACUUGUGGAUCAGUAUCUCAUCCAUCCAUCCAUCCAUUUAAUUUAUAUACCACCCUUCAUCCAUGGAUCAUAGGGCAGUUUACAGUAUAAAAACACAUAAAUAUUUAACAUACAAACAAACAAAACGAUACCCAACCCCACAUUUCAACUCUAGAGAAAUGUUCUGUGUAGAUUCCAAAACAAUUUCCCAUUGUUUAGGUUGUACAGCACAUUCUAAUUCCCUGUUCCAGAUCUCUCUGAAUAAGCAGCAGUCAUGGCUGUAGCUUUAUUAGGAUAUCCAAUAAUUCACUUAAAUAGUUCAGGAGAUACUGAAGCACUCAAAGCAGGUGUUCCAUAAACAGACACUAACAGGCAUUGUCAUUGACAAUUUUGCCAUUCAGCACUUGUCAGUAAAUGAUAUUUAAACCACAAUAUGGAAAAUGGCAAAAAAAUUACAUCUGGAACUAUGAGCUGAUCUAAUGUAUAUAUCCCACAAUCAUUCCUUCUACAAAAAGCUGCCUCCCUAUCCUCAAAUCUGGAUUACCCCAUAAAGUGAUUUUUUUUCUAUCAUAUGGGUUGAAUUGUAAUUGACCAGACAAGAUACACUAUGUCACUCUAGUUGCAAAAAUUGCAGGUGGUAUAGGUCCCUUCCUUUUAUGUACUUAAAAGCUAGUUAUCCUGGGAAGGGUGUUCAUGCAAUCACCUCUAAAAUUACUAUGCUGUGAUAUUAAUAGAGGAAGGAACUUGCCCAUUGUUUGUGUUAAAAGAUAUGCCUUGUGGUAUAAGCUAAGAUCUAGAAAAUGAAAUUCUUCUUGUACUGGUAGUUGCAUUCUCUCUAGUGAGAAGUGAAACGGAGAGUUGUCCCACUGAUCUUUGAAAAAUAUAUUCACUACACUGAAAUAUCAUCACACUACUUCAAAUGGUUGGUGAAGAAUCCCCCCCAGCCGUGUAUAUUUUGCUGGUUCCCUUCCAUGUUAAGUUUAUGCUGCUGGAAUUUGUUCAACACUUUCCAUAUUGCUUGCCUCCAGACUGCCCAUAUUUUGCAGGAGGGAUUCAGUCGCAUAGGUUUGUGCAAUUAAAGUGGAUUAAAGCACUCUGAUGCAACAAAUCCACCCAAAAAAAACAACAACCCAGACUGACUUUUUGUGGUUAGGAAAGUGACAGGUAAAUGUACGUAUAACCACCAUGUAAUAAAAUCACAAUGAACUCAGGAUGAAUGCUCAUUGUCACAUGUUUGUGAGAGCAAGCAAAUCAGAGUGAAUGCUCCAUAAAACUGGACAUUGUCUAACCUGCUCAUAAGUGUGUUGCAAGCAAAUCGAGACAAAUCUUCAAUAAACAGGAGGAGCACAUUGUUACCUUAUUAGUUUCAGUGCACAUUAGUUUUUGUUUCCAAGGAAUUAUAUUUUCUUCUGUUUUCUUCUGUUUUUAUUAUUGUCUGUUUGGAGAAACAAUUCGGAUUAUUUCUUUAAAAUAAUAAUAUUAAUAAUGGUGAUGUGUUUUCUUCCAAAUCAUUUUUUACCAGUACGCAAAAUUCUGCAGAGUCAAUUGUUUCAUCGGUUCACUAAGAUUCCUUUAACCAAAAUAAAAAAUUCCUUCCAGUAGCACCUUAGAGACCAACAAACUUAGUUGGUCUCUAAGGUGCUACUGGAAGGAAUUUUUUUAUUUUGUUUUGACUAUGGCAGACCAACACGGCUACCUAUCUGUAAGUAUUCCUUUAAACCAGUCCGAGUCUGCAACCCAGGCACCACUUAACUGGAGUAAGCCCCAUUAAAGUCAACGAGACUUACUUCUUAGUAGACAUGGUUAGGCUUGUACUGUGGUGUUUGGCUUCGUCUCUGAACAUCAGUUGACCUCCGCUUUUCUUUGUUUACUGUCAAUGCCUAUGCUUAUAAUCAGUUGCCUGUUCUAAGUUUAGAAUACCUGUGCCUCAUUAACUGCUCUGAGUGCUUCUUGCUCAUCUAAUGGUGCAUGAAGAACGUUUCUCCCCAUGACGGAGGUGAGAGAGCAUCUUGGUCUUGUUAGAGGCUGAAGUAGGUUUACAGGCUGAUGAUGCUUCAGUUAUAAUUGUGUUUGGAGCAAUUUGCCCUUUAGUUCCUCCUUCUCUGAAAAUGGGGGGGGGGGCGCGCGCGAGAGAGAAAAUACACUUUUUAAAAGGCUAUAAAGAAAAACAAGUUGAGGGAUGUGUAUUUUCUAUUUUAAUACUUUCCAAUCUUUGGAAUGUGAAAACUGUAUUAUUAUUAUUAUCACCGUAUUUUUCGCUCUAUAAGACGCACCAGACCACAAGACUUGGAUGAGGAAAACAAGAAAUUUUUUUUUAUGAAUCUCAGAAGCCAGAACAGCAAGAGGGAUCACUGUGCAGUGAAAGCAGCAAUCCCUCUUGCUCUUCUGGCUUCUGGGAUAGCUGCGCAGCCUGCAUUCACUCCAUAAGAUGCACACACAUUUCCCCUUACUUUUUAGGAGAGAAAAAGUGAGUCUUAUAGAGCAAAAAAUACGGUAUUUAAAAUUUAUAACAUGCCCUGUGAAAGCUGAAUGAUGAUGAUUUCAAUUAACCCAAUGCCUUUUUAAGAUGUGUUGGGGGGGCGUUAUUGGGUUGUUUUGUUUUUUAUUAUGUAUUUUGUGUUUUUAAUACUGCAGUUCUACAUUGCAACCACCCUAAGACCUGCAGGUAUAGGGGCAGUAUACAAAUUUAAUCAAUAAUAGCAAUAAUGUAUACACAUUUAAUCAAUAAUAGCAAUAAUUUAUAACUUGCCUUUCCUUCCCAAGGAGCCCAGGGCAGCAAAAUGUUUAACAGCAAAUAUCAUUUCAAAACUCCCUUAAAAAAUCAUUCUAUCAAACCCUUUGUUUUUGUGCCUCUUUUCUUGCAGCAUGUGGAUUCAAAUCAGAAUACCAAGUCAUGAUAUUCACAGUUUUUGCACGCACACUUUACAGGUAUAAAUGAAUGGAAAGAAGAGAUGGAAAAUGUCCUGCUGGUAAGCUAGGGCAGGGGAGCAGGGGUUUGGCGAAACUUUAUAUAAAGACUGUAAUUUGAAGACUGUAAUCUGCUCCUGAACAACUUGUGACUUUACAGCCAUGCAGCGUAGCCGACCAGGUGCUUGAAAACACUUGGAUUUCUACCGUUCAAGGCAGAGAUGAAAAACAGGAAGUUUAUCAAGCCCCUACUGAGCCAGCAUGUAUGGAUUCAAAUUGGGCAGGCGUGUUGUAAAUCAAGUGUAUUCCAGUGUGAUGCAAGAGUCCAGAUGUUUGUCCUACAUUUGGAGGUGUUUGUUUGCCAUGAAUGAAAAAUCGAGUCAAAUAGGAACCAUUCUAUUCAGUUUCCAUUGGUUCUGAAAUAAGAAAUGGAAACUCUUUCGUCAUUCACGUCUAUACUAAGUUUCAUAUGAAUGGCUGGGCUUAUCUUUCUGUGGUGACACCGACCUAAAGUGAGAUGUUCCAGAAGUAUGACAUGACAGGAUACAAUAUGGUAGUUUGCAAACUGGAACAGUUACUUCCGGGUUUGCUGUAUUUGGGAGCCAAAAUGUUCGAGAACUAAGCUGUUCGAAAACCAAGGUACAAUUGUAGAGUUUUCUUGCUUCAUUGGAAAUGAUGCACCUGGAAUUGGAGUUCAGAAAUGUGAAACAAAGAGUACAGAGGAAAACAUGUAGGGGCAGUUUUUGUGUCAGGGAUGCCUCCACCUGAAUUUUGGCGACAGGAGCAAAGAGUGUUGCAUAACAGCUAGAUAUCUUUGUGUAAGAGUAUCUCAUAAAAAAAGGGACGCGGGUGGCGCUGUGGGUUAAACCACAGAGCCUAGGACUUGCUGAUCAGAAGUUUGGCGGUUCAAAUACCCGCGACAGGGUGAGCUCCCAUUGCUUGGUCCCUGCUCCUGCCAACCUAGCAGUUCAAAAGCACAUCAAAGUGCAAGUGGAUAAUUAGGUACCGCUCUGGCGGGAAGCUAAACGGCGUUUCCGUGCACUGCUCUGGUUCGCCAGAGGCGGCUUAGUCAUGCUGGCCACAUGACUCGGAAGCUGUAUGCCAGCUCCUUCGGCCAGUAAAGCGAGAUGAGCGUCGCAACCCCAGAGUCGUUCACGACUGAACCUAAUGGUCAGGGGUCCCUUUACCUUUACCUUUAUCUCAUAAAAAGGAAGGUGGGGAACAUGUGGCUCUCUAGAUAUUGUUGUAUUUUAGCUCCCAUCAGCCGUAACCGGCAUGGCCCAUGGCCAAAGGUGAUAAGGGCUGUAGUCUAAUAACAUCUGGGAGUCAUGGGUUCCCUACUCACAUAUUAAAACCGUUUUAUUUAAUGGCUUCUCACUGCAGGCUCCUGGAGUAUUUUUAUGGGGCUAUAAUAGCAAUGGAAUAAAUAAUGCAUUGAGCUCAUCAAUAAAGCUACAUAUCAACCUCAGCAAUUUGUAACAUUGGGUAUUUUUAUUUAUUUAAAAUAUUUGUAUCUCCCCUACCAAGCAACAGUUCACAAGACAGCUCUGUAGAAUGUCUGGCCAUUGCCCGAUGAUAGCUAUGCCUCCUGACUGCUAAACAAAGUGUGUGAGUUAUUUCUUACACUUAAAAAAGGCAAAUUAAGAAAUGUGGGGCUAGAUGGGUUCUAUUUCUUUACGCAACUGAUUUCACGAAUGAGAGUUAUGCAUUUUUGCAAUGUAAUCUUUGCAUCAGCACUUGAAAAAAAGAAAACGAGAGAAUUAGGAUCAGAUUGUGUUAACUUAAGUUUGAGUUCUGCUUUGCAACAAGUUCUGCAAGUAAAAACCAAAGAAGCUGAAAGCACAAACCAAUUCACUUUGGUUUCAAUUUCUGUUGCACAAAGUAAGAUAUCAUUUGUAGCACAAUGUGAUGCUUCUUCUGAGCUGACAGAAGGACCAGAGGCCAUUAAAAGCAUAUAAAAUAGGUAUUUCAGAGGGAUCUCACUGUGUGCAUUAAGUAUGUUAUUUAACACAAUCCUGAAGGCUUCUACAAUAAGGGCAUUUACACAGGAUGUGGUUGCCAUGUUGAAGCCUCUUUAAAUUGCCUCCUGCAGUAACGAGUUCUGCGUGGCAAGCUACCUGCAUCCAAGCCCACCCAGGGAUAGCUGUGGGUGGGAUUCCUGCAUUGUAGGCGGUUGGACUAAAUGAUCCUUAGGAUCUCUUCCAACUCUACAAAUCUAUGAUUCCAUGAUUCUAAUGAGUUGCCAUGUGAUAUGGUGAUCUAUCCCAUAUCUUACAGAAAUGAUUUGGUCUCAAAAACUACCUUCAGAAUUUCUUCAGCAAGUGGUAAUGUCAAAUAUGGCUUGAUAUAUUCUGAAUAUUCAAGUAGUUGGGAAAUCAUCAGUAUUUGACACCUGGUGACAUUUGAUUUCAGUACUUGACAGCCUUUUAUCAUUGACUUGCAGUGAUAUUUAGCACUGGACUGUGGAACAGGUGGCAUGCAAUGAUAUUUGGUAUGUGACAGCCCCAGACAGACAACAUGCAAUGGUAUAUAUUAUUUGACAGUUGGGAUAUUGAUAGCUACCCUAUUAAGCACCUGCCAAACACAAAACAAUCAAAAAGUGGCACUUCCAAAAUUCAAGCUUGAAACCUAAAUGCAGAAAUUAGGAAUUCUUUUUAUAACUUGGUUAAAUUAUCAAACUUGGUGAAAUUUGACUCUGGCUCCAUUUUUUACAAUAUGGAUGUGAUAAUGCUUUUUGCAGUUCUCAUUUUAUGAAAGUUCUUUUUAUAGAAUCAUAGAAUUGUAGAGUUGGAAGGGAUCUCAAGGGUCAUCUAGCCCAACCCCUGCAAUCUCAACUAAAGCAUCCAUGACAGAUGACCAUCCAAUCUCUGCUUAAAAACCUCUAGUGAAGGAGAGCCCAACGCCUUCCAAGGGAGUCUGUUGCCUGUCUAGACCCCGCAACCACCCCCUCGUUGAAGAAUAAAACGCACCAGGACACAGAUAUUAGGUUAAUGUUAUUGGGCAAAUUUUGGCCGUAACUUUAUUGAUUACAGAAUGUGAGCGGUAAUUGGCUUAGGCAUUGAAUGGACCAGACUAUAUCUGACUCCUGCCCGUUGUGCAGGGAGUCCGGUAAGGGUAAAUGAAAUAUACUCGGAGUCUAGUGUGGAUUUCAUGCUCUUUAUUCAGCUCAUAGUAGUGAGGAAUGGAAUUUUCCCCGAAAUGCCUGCUUUAUAUACAUUAUUUACACAAUGGGCCCCACGUGAUUGGCUAGUUCUGGGAUUCUCCUGUAGGCCAAUCAGGUUGCGGAUUCACUUCCACCUGGAGUUGGAUUGGGUGGCUCCUGUGGACCAAUCAGACUGCUGCAUUCUGAAUCCUAUUGUUCUAGGACCAAUCAGACUACUGCAUUCUGAAUCCUAUUGUUCUAGGACCAAUCAGACUCCUGCAAUUUGGAUCCUAUUCAACUCAGUACAUAACAGUAAACCACCAGAAGGGGGAGCCCCAUCGAUGCAGACAAACUCGAGCUCCCCCACGUGCUCCCGACGGGGUCGUGUCAUGGCCCUAGCCCUGCCCUGGGCUUCGGACAAGAUCCACGCCCCCGGAUUCCUUUAAUGGAAUACCCUAAAGCUUGGAGGGGCAGGUGAUGGCCACACCUCCCCUCCCUCAUCAAAAGGUCAAACAAUGCCUAACCGCAAAACCUCACAAAGUUGUGACGAUUGCUACAAGGUAGGCGAAAACCAAAUGGCCCGUGCCAAUUUUGCCAAGUGGAAAAAUUCCAACCAGGCCCCUCAACGGCGACCAACCAAGGUCCAUAGCAAGGCCAAUGAAAACCUGCAAAAGGGAGGGAGGGCGGGAGAUUGAGGAAGCCCCCCGGCUAGCGCCCUCACUUAAAUGGUCUCGGCCAUGCCCCCACCAGCCGGCAGAUUGGCUGGCUGUGUGCUGAUGCGGCCAGGAUCCCCAGGGCAAUGCAGGACUUCAUCCCCCGCCCUUGAGGGAGUGGGUGGCCAUGCGGUCCACCGCAACGCCUCCCCACUAGGAAGUGGAGCAGAUUUCCUGACCACUCUUACUGUCAGCUCUUACUUCAUGAAGUAACUUUUAAAGUCCGUUUCAAAUAAUGCCCCGCAAAGCACCUGCAUUUAGCUUCUGUUCAUUUCAUACAGAAUUUGGAAUAAUGGCAGGGGGUUGGACUAGAUGACCCUCGGGUCCCUUCCAGGUCUACAAUUCGAGGAAAGCUGCAUUGAUUCGGAACACCUAGCACUAAGCUGAGGCUUUCUAACAGAGUUUGUGCAAUGAAACAAUCAUGAAUUGUUGAUCGAAUCGGCCCCUUUCCUUUAAAUUAUGCUGAGUGGUGGUGCGAAAGUAAGAAAAACCUCAAAUGACAAACAGCAGGCUACAAGGACUCAGCAUCGCUUUUCAUUUCUUUGCUUUUGUCAGUGUUUGUCAAAAAGCUUUAAUGGUUUCCAAAACCAUUUAUUCCUUCCAUUACUGGCUUUUUCAAAACCUCAUAAUAUUUAAAACACUUACCGUAAUUUCAUUUCUUAAAAGAACAUCAUGCAGGUAUAUAAUUAGCGUGGGAUCAAACUGGAUUUUUCCCCCCGCCUGUAAAAUACAGCUGCAAUCAGCUGAAAUGCCAGCUCAGGCUGUAAUCCUUGAUGCAUGUACCUCAAAGCAAGCUCCAUCAAACUCAGAGGGCUUACUUCUGAGGAAAUAACAAUAAUUUUAUUAUUUGUACCCCACCCACCUGACUGAGUUGCCCCAGCCACUUGGGGGGUGGGCUUCCAACACAUAUAAAAGCAUAACAAAACAUCUAAGAUUAAAAACAUCCCUACAUGGCCUUCAGACAUUUUCUAAAAAUUGCGUAGUUACUGAUCUCCUUGAUAUCUGAUGGGAGAGUGUUCCACAGGACGGGUGCCACUACCGAGAAGGCCCUCCAUCUGGUUUCCUGUAGCUUCACUUCUCACAGUGAGGGAACCACCAGAGCUGGACCUCAGUUUCCGGGCUGAACGAUGGGGGGGGGGGUGGACUACAACUCCCAUCAGCCCUGACCAUUGGGCCAUGCUGCCUGGGGCUGACGGGAGUUGGAUUUCACCAACAGCUGAAAGUGCCCCAUCCCCGAUCUAGUCCUACCACACCAUGUCCCUGCUGUUGCUGAUCAUGUCUAUUUUCCUCUCCUGAGUUCCUCGCUGUGUAUUUUCCUCCCCGCCUUUCUCUGCCAUUCCGUCCUACGAGUGAUUUGCACCAUUUCAAGUUAAGAUGUUGAGAGAAGAGCUCGGCAGGAAGGCGGAUUGUUUCUAAGCUCUUCAAGGCCACUUUUGUUUUCACCCAUCAAAAAGCGAGAGAGAUUUCUUGAAUAGCACAGAGCCUAGGGCACUGUUACGUUAAAUGCAUUUUAAUGACAUACAACAGACCUUGGCAAAGAUGUUCCUUUAGAAAUUCUCAUUCUCCCCACCCUCCACCGCCCACCAACCACCUUACAAACAGCCAUCCCAAUAUUAACAAAGUUUGGGAUGGCUGGAAAAUGGUUUAAGAUGUGCAUUAGCCUGGAUAAGGAGUUGGUUAGCACAUGAUGCUGAUAAUGCCAAGGUUGUAGGUUUGAUCCCUAUUUGAGACAGCUGCAUAUUCCUGCAUUGCAAGGACUAGAUUAUCCUUAGGGUCCCUUCCAACUCUACAGUUCUAUGAUCAUAUGAAUGAACUCUGAGAUAUGCAUUAAAAACAAUAGAACUUAUGAAGCUGCCUCUUACCGAGGACUCAGCUACAUUAGUAGAGAAAUAGUUUUAAAUGAGUUAUAACACCGUUGACACCAGAUGGCGCUGUAGAGUUCCGUCUUUCACAAAUGUGAUUUCUCAUUAUGAGGUUUACAACGCGUUUUCCUGAAAUGCUUUUUUUUAUGUGUCUAGAUCCAGCCUGAGUCAGGUCGUUGGUCCAUAUAGCUCAAUAGUGUCUAUACUACAGGGGACCCUCCCAGCCCUACCAGGAGAUGCUGAGCACAGGAACUUUCGCAUCUCAGAGUGGGCAAACAAAUGUUAUGCACACACGUGUCUGCCAAUUUUUAUUUAUUUAUUUAUUAUUUUAUUUAUUUAUUAUUUUAAAAAGCAAGCCACUUCUUUAAAAACAAUGGGUUGGUGCCGAACCCUUUUCCAUUCACAUCUUCCCCAUUCCAAAUGGCCCCAAACUGUUUUCAUCCCCGCUGUGGUGGGUUUCAAAAUGAAUGUCUGCAUUUUGAACACCGUUGGGACGAAGUGUGUGAAAGUUGUUUUAAGGACCAGUUUGGUGUGGGAAGCUGUAGUCAGAGAAAGGGCUAACCACCAUUUAGCCAGUGUGGUGUAGUGGUUAAGAGCAGUGGACUCGUAAUCUGGUGAACCUGGUUUGCUUUCCCUUUCCUUCACAUGCAGCUGCUGGGUGACCUUGGGCCAGUCACACUUCUCUGAAGUCUCUCAGCCCCACUCACCUCACAGUGUGUUUGUUGUAGGGGAGGAAAGGAAAGGAGAAUGUGAGCCGCGUUGAGACUCCUUUGGGUAGUGAUAAAGCGGGAUAUCAAAUCCAAACUCCUCUUCUUCUUCUUAUGCAGCAUCUCAGCUCCAAAUCUCGCUCCCUUCCUGUGACUAUUUAGUUGCAAACCUUACAACAAUCUGGUAAACAGUGCUUUUUUUUCUGCACCAGAGUGCAGUUCCAGCACCUCUCAGGUGAGUGUCAUUGAGGGCUAGCGCUGCCCCAGCCCGCUUCUUGCCUUGACAUACUUCCAAGAAGCCCAAAAUGAAUAUUUCAAGUCAAAACAGAAGCUGGCCAGUCUACACUUUUUUUUAGAUCUAGCUCCUAGCCACUCCUGGCCAUAAUUGGUCAAGCUAUGAAAUGGGACCAAUUCAUAUUUCUUUUUCUUCAGUCCAUCUCCUGUGUACCAGUGGUGCACUUCAAACUUUCCCGCCAGGCCUCUACCAUUGCACAUACUGUGUGUGUGUGAGGGCCCUUAGAUGGCUGCCUUAGCCAUCUGCCUGAAUCUAAGAUAUAGAGGGAGGCAGCGGUGCAUUUAUUUGUCCCGCACCAGAACCAGGGGUGACCCCCCCCAAACCAGACAGGGAGACAGCUUGUUGUAGUUCUUAGCACCUCCACAGGUGGUGAAUGUGGCUGUGGUCAAACCGGCAUCUGUUCAGGGCUGCCCCGAGGUGUCCGGCAACUUACUGUAACAACUUCAUGGUGAGUUUUGGCACCUGUUUUUCUUGGGGGGAAAGCACUGCCUGUAAAGUACAGUGGUACCUCGGGUUAAGAACUUAAUUCAUUCUGGAGGUCUGUUCUUAACCUGAAACUGUUCUUAACCUGAGGUACCACUUUAGCUAAUGGGGCCUCCUGCUGCCAUCAUGCCGCUGCCAUGCGAUUUCUGUUCUCAUCCUGAAGUAAAGUUCUUAAUCCAAGGUACUAUUUCUGGGUUAGCGGAGUCUGUAACCUGAAGCGUCUGUAACCCGAGGUACCACUGUAUUAUAAUCGCAAAUGGCAACACUGAGGCUGAGAGAAAGUGGUUUGCCUUAGGGCCAACUAGUAGGCAUAUGGCAGAAGUGAGAUUUAAACCAGUGGCUUUCUGAUUCACAGCAUGCUAUGCCACACCAGCUCCACAGAUUCUAAUCCAGAGACUUGUGCAUAAUGUGCAAAAAGUCCCUGACUUGCACUCAGUCUUAAACACAUUACAUAGCUUUCUCUCUCUCCAACCACUGCAAUGAAUGUGGGGUUGGAAAAAAAGAAUGUAGAGAAUAGCGCUUGGAGUUUUUGCUUUUUGGGUAGUUUUAAACAUUUGUUUUCUAAAUAUCCUUGGGCCAGACCUAACACACAGAGUGAAAGAGAGCAGGAAAAAUAUUCAGCUAUCAUUAAAAAAACAUGUAAAGCUACCAGUGUGAUUUUUAUUUUCUCCAGGCUUCAACACAAAGUCUAAACAUUACCUGACAAAGAAAACAACUUUCGAAAAUUUGCUAAACUCCACCUUGGCAACACUUUUCAACAGCAAAGGAAUCUUGCUCUCACACUCCAAACAACAUUCAAGGUAACUCAGAUCUGGAUCAAGCAAAGAAUCAGCAUUAAUUUCAUAGUAGCUUGUUCUGAGAUCUCCAGCCUGAUUUCCACAUCAAAGAAGGUACACUCUUUUAGUUAGGUUUUGGAUACUCUUCCAAACCAAGCCCUCAACUCUCUUGAGCUUUGCCCAUCAUUAAUAUUUACCCAAGUCAUCAUCCAGAAAAACUGGAGGCAACUAUUAAUUCCUUCAUACUGACUUUAAAAUGGAAGAUCAUGCUUGGGGACAGAACCAUAGGCUGCCUCUGUUUCAAGAGGGGAAAAAUAGCAAACCCUCAGAACCAUUUUUUUUGCAUCCUCUUUGAUGUGAAAACUUCCCUACAGAUAUUUCAGUACGGUUUCCUAAGUUAUAUGAGAUGUGGAGAAUCUCCACAUCUUCAAAGUCAGCUGACCCAAACCUUGCUUGGCAAAAUCAACAUCUCUGAGAAUAUUAACAUAAUUUAAUGUUUUUAUAUAUAUAUUUUCUUGCAGAAUAUUAUGAUCUGAAGUAAUUUCAUCUGGGGCAGAGUUUUGUUGAUUAUUAUUAAAGGUAAAGGGACCCCUGACCAUUAGGUCCACUUGUGACCAACUCUGGUGUUGCGGCGCUCAUCUCGCUUUAUUGGCCGAGGGAGCCGGUGUACAGCUUCCAGGUCAUGUGGCCAGCAUGACUAAGCCUCUUCUGGCGAACCAGAGCAGCGCACGGAAACGCCAUUUACCUUCCUGCCGGAGCGGUACCUAUCCAUCUACUUGCAGUUUGACGUGCUUUUGAACUGCUAGGUUGGCAGGAUUAUUAAUAACUGUCAAAUGAUUAAACAAAAAAGUUAACAAAAUGGCUAUAUAUUUGCUCGACUGUGUUGCAGGCAGAGAAACAGUGGUUUACGUGGAGUCACGGGUCAUUUCCCUGUGUAUACCAGAGGGAAAGAAUAAUCUGAAGACAAGGACUGGGGAAUGCGUUCUAUGGCAGACCAGCUGUCUACAGCAGACCCCCACUUGUCUACAGCAUCUUCAGAAGCAGAGAGAGAGAGACAAGAGCUGAACAGCUUAGGGGGGAGUUACCCAGUUAUGAGAUAAUGAUAACAGAACCAGAAGGGAGGGGGCAGCUAGUUGAGAGCGUGGGGGACCCCUCCUUCACCACGGACUCGGAGGCCCAAACAUAUGAGAGAGCAAAGGAGUCAGAGGGAGGGAGGAACUCCCCACUGGCGCCCAAAAUGCUGUGGAAUGGGGGAUUAGACUAGCCAACUGCGCUCCUUGCGGAGAGCUGUGUAUCUGUGCUUGCAACAUGAUGCUGUAAUAAACGGACCAUAAAUCUUAUCAACUGCUUGUUAAUUUGUAUCUGUGAAGUUGCCGAAGGGAGGCGAGGACUCUCCACGCCUGACAACAUUGCUUCUGGAUUCUUGGCUGUAAUUCUGGGAAAUCUCAUGCCAGACUCCUGCUGACUUCGUUUGGACUACUGAGCUGAUUGCCGGGGUCAUUGAUUGCAGUGGAUGGCGAUGUUUGCUUUAGCUUCAAAUGGACUUUAUUCAUGAUGAUCACUAGUGAUCGUUAAAUAUCUCAUCACGGCACUCAGCCCUAUCCAUCAAGGCACUUGCUGUUGUAACGACUGCAUAGAAAUAAAUUACUCUCUGCUUUAUGUUGUCCUAGUGGAGUGGCCCAAUAUAAAAAUAUUUCAAAGGAGUGCCAUAAAUUAGCCCCAGUCCUCGAAUUAAAUACGGGAAGCCGAAGAGGACUCGCGGUGCUUCGCUUGCUCCAAAUGGCAAGGGGGAGUGGAGCUCCUGAUGCAAAUUGCUGGAAAGAAACAAAGCCUGCCUUGUUGAUGAUGAAACGAGCAUCUGUUGAAUUGUAAGAGCAUCAGUAUAGUUUUACGAGAGUAGCUUUUAUUCACAGUGCAGCUCAAAUUCAGACUCAGCAUGGGUCUGUGUUGCACAAGCCAGCCCCAUUAUGAAGUUCUGAUUACACAAGGAAGGAGCAUUAAUGGUCGGCAUCCUCUAAGGAAGUUUCUCUGGCCAUUGGGCAAUACCCAAUUAACUCAUUCUAUCAGAGCUAGGAUUUUGAGCUGCAUGCAACAGGAUUUCCCACCUCCUCUCCCCAUGCAUGGACCACACUGUCCCCAAAUCUGCCCUGGAGGGUUGGGGAACCCCCAGAACAGAUUUAAGGAGCAUGUGGGAUGGAGGCAGAGAAGACGCUCCAUUGUGCAAGCGGAAAUCCAUGGAUGGAACAAGUUAGUUGAAUACGUCCCAUUGAAGUGAAUGUGGGGCUAGGCUUUGAGUGUUCCUCAGUGGUGCAGGGAUGGCACUUUGCAUAUGCUCAGAGGCAGGAUGAAUUGCUUUUUCAUUAGCAGGGGAAAGAGUUGAUUGAUGCCACUGUUGUAAAUUAAGUUUCCCACUGAUAUGUCAUCUGUUUGCUAAAUGGUGCAUGCUUGACUAAAAUCUACAGCUGAACAGAACAUCAGCAAGGCCAUUUCAACGUUACACCCCUUUGUUUCAUUGCACACAUUUUGUGUCCUUCCCAUAUUUGCCUAUACAAGGAAUGACUUUCUUUCUAUACACAUAAAAUGCCCUAAACAAAAAAACAAAUCUAGAAGUGUAUUGAUGGUGUGCCUUUUUUUUUUUUUUUUGUCUCAGCCAAUGUUAACCACUAUAUUCCAGUGUCCUCUUCCUGUCACAGCACAUGGGAUAUUUUGUUACCUUGAGAAACACUGGAAUUUGGCUCAGGGUAGUAAAAUGGCCCCCAAACUGGGUAUGUAAUUUUCUUUGUCUCUGUCCAAGAAGAUUUAGUAUGAGCUGUGCUAUUUUUCUAGAAAAAGAAAUGCCAGAAUUCAUCACAAACACCUCCCUUGUUCUCUUAUAAUGGCAGUGGAGCCCAUCUGAGAGGUGAUGGAACUGAAUUCUGGUGAACUCCAGCUGAAAAAAAGUCAUGAGUAUGAGAAUAUAGAAACGUGAGCACAAGUACAAAGUAGUAAUCAAGAAUUAAAUGCCUGGUAGCAUGGAAACAUUAUCUCAAGGACCACCACCCUCCGUUGAUGUGGGUGGGAGACUAUGCCAUAGCUCUGAAGUGUGUUAAGACUUAAGCUGUGUGUGUUGAAUCUUGUGUGUCAAUCAUGAGCACAAAAAAAUCAGAUUGGAAUGACCCAUUUAUAUGAGAUAUCGCUCCCAUCUAGAAGUACCCUUGAAAACAAACCAACAUCCUCAGUUCACUAUUUUAUUAUUAUUUUUGUCAAAUUUAACUAUCAAAGCAGAGUUCUUCCACUUGAGGGCAUGAAAUUAUUUGAUUGUUCAUCACAGAAUAUUCUUUCUUUUGCAGACAUUACUGUUUCAGACCAUCAUCACUGACCUCGACGAAUGGGGACAGAUUGAUCUUUUUAUUCUGUAGAAACUGAUGACACAGACUUUUGAAGUAGUUUUUCUGCACUUUCUGCCAGAGGAGCUGUGCCAAAUAUCAAUCCUUAACUUGAAAGAAAUCUUUUUUUUAUUUUCAAGUGAGACGGGUUUUUGUAUGGCGAUCAGUCAAAUUCCAAAUCACUGCAAAAUGUGAACUCUGCUUGUUUCUAUGAAUAUUAAUGAUGCUUCAUUCUAUGGGUUUACUCCCCCCCAUUGUGUAACUCCAAAAUGACAUUUAAAAUUGUUCAUUAAAAAGACAAAUUGCUGCAUGAGGACUGGAGUUGUUUUUAGUGUAACAUCACACCUUCGUGUAUUGGAGGCCGAAACACUCACUGGUCAAAUGGCUUUAAACUUUCUUUACAUUCAUACACUAACAGUUCGAGGGCUACACAGGAGUAAAUCCUGUGGCAAUCAAUUGGCACUUUUGCCCUUGUAAAUGCAUAUAGGUAGAGAUGGGAGACGCUGUCAAUUUCAGUUUCUUGUUUUUCCUAAUCUUAAAU
rnacentral:lncRNA from 1 species